rnacentral:rRNA from 1 species
CCUACGGGAGGCAGCAGUGAGGAAUAUUGGUCAAUGGACGAGAGUCUGAACCAGCCAAGUAGCGUGAAGGAUGACUGCCCUAUGGGUUGUAAACUUCUUUUGUAAGGGAGUAAAACGAGGCACGUGUGCCUUUUUGCAUGUACUUUAUGAAUAAGGAUCGGCUAACUCCGUGCCAGCAGCCGCGGUAAUACGGAGGAGCCGAGCGUUAUCCGGAUUUAUUGGGUGUAAAGGGAGCGUAGAUGGGUGGGUAAGUCAGGUGUGAAAGUUUGCGGCUCAACCGUAAAAUUGCAAUUGAUACUGGCAGUCUUGAGUACAGGUGAGGUAGGUGGAAUUCGUGGUGUAGCGGUGAAAUGCUUAGAUAUCACGAAGAACCCCGAUUGCGAAGGCAGCUUACUAAACUGUGACUGACAUUGAUGCUCGAAAGCGUGGGGAUCAAACAGGAGUAGAUACCCUAGUAGUC